GAGUUUGAUNCCUGGCUCAGGACGAACGCUGGCGGCAUGCCUAAUACAUGCAAGUCGAGCGGAGUUGUUUUGAAAGCUUGCUUUCAAAACAACUUAGCGGCGGACGGGUGAGUAACACGUAGGUAACCUGCCUGUAAGACUGGGAUAACUACCGGAAACGGUAGCUAAUACCGGAUAAUUUGUUUCUUCUCAUGAAGAGACACUGAAAGGCGGAGUAAUCUGCCACUUAUAGAUGGGCCUGCGGCGCAUUAGCUAGUUGGUGAGGUAACGGCUCACCAAGGCGACGAUGCGUAGCCGACCUGAGAGGGUGAACGGCCACACUGGGACUGAGACACGGCCCAUUACUCCUACGGGAGGCAGCAGUAGGGAAUCUUCCGCAAUGGACGAAAGUCUGACGGAGCAAUGCCGCGUGAGUGAUGAAGGUUUUCGGAUCGUAAAGCUCUGUUGCCAGGGAAGAACGCUUGGGAGAGUAACUGCUCUCAAGGUGACGGUACCUGAGAAGAAAGCCCCGGCUAACUACGUGCCAGCAGCCGCGGUAAUACGUAGGGGGCAAGCGUUGUCCGGAAUUAUUGGGCGUAAAGCGCGCGCAGGCGGUCAUUUAAGUCUGGUGUUUAAUCCCGGGGCUCAACCCCGGGUCGCACUGGAAACUGGAUGACUUGAGUACAGAAGAGGAGAGUGGAAUUCCACGUGUAGCGGUGAAAUGCGUAGAUAUGUGGAGGAACACCAGUGGCGAAGGCGACUCUCUGGGCUGUAACUGACGCUGAGGCGCGAAAGCGUGGGGAGCAAACAGGAUUAGAUACCCUGGUAGUCCACGCCGUAAACGAUGAGUGCUAGGUGUUAGGGGUUUCGAUACCCUUGGUGCCGAAGUUAACACAUUAAGCACUCCGCCUGGGGAGUACGGUCGCAAGACUGAAACUCAAAGGAAUUGACGGGGACCCGCACAACAGUGGAGUAUGUGGCUGUAACUGACGCUGAGGCGCGAAAGCGUGGGGAGCAAACAGGAUUAGAUACCCUGGUAGU
rnacentral:rRNA from 1 species